CAUGCCUAAUACAUGCAAGUCGAGCGAACAGAGAAGGAGCUUGCUCCUUUGACGUUAGCGGCGGACGGGUGAGUAACACGUGGGCAACCUACCUUAUAGUUUGGGAUAACUCCGGGAAACCGGGGCUAAUACCGAAUAAUCUAUUUUACUUCAUGGUGAAAUACUGAAAGACGGUCUCGGCUGUCGCUAUAAGAUGGGCCCGCGGCGCAUUAGCUAGUUGGUGAGGUAACGGCUCACCAAGGCGACGAUGCGUAGCCGACCUGAGAGGGUGAUCGGCCACACUGGGACUGGGACACGGCCCAGACUCCUACGGGAGGCAGCAGUAGGGAAUCUUCCACAAUGGGCGAAAGCCUGAUGGAGCAACGCCGCGUGAGUGAAGAAGGUUUUCGGAUCGUAAAACUCUGUUGUAAGGGAAGAACAAGUACAGUAGUAACUGGCUGUACCUUGACGGUACCUUAUUAGAAAGCCACGGCUAACUACGUGCCAGCAGCCGCGGUAAUACGUAGGUGGCAAGCGUUGUCCCGGAAUUAUUGGGCGUAAAGCGCGCGCAGGCGGUCCUUUUAAGGU
rnacentral:rRNA from 1 species